rnacentral:rRNA from 1 species
UCACCACCAAAAGAGUUAAACACAGGGACACAUUUGAAGUCUCGGAGCCGGGUGUUGGUUCCGGUAGUGAUCGAGGGAAGUUAGUACCGAAGUCCGGGAUGGAAGAUGGCGAGAAAAGCUGUGUGUAUUUCUGCGGUGCCCGUACCGCAAACCGACACAGGUAGGUAGGAAGAGGAUUCUAAGGCCAACGGGAGAAGGGUUGUUAAGGAACUCGGCAAAUUGACCCCGUAACUUCGGGAGAAGGGGUGCUCCAGAGAUGGAGCCGCAGAGAAUCGGCCCAAGCAACUGUUUACCAAAAACACAGGUUUGUGCUAAAUCGAAAGAUGACGUAUACGAGCUGACGCCUGCCCGGUGCUGGAAGGUUAAGAGGAGAUGUGCAAGCAUUGAAUCGAAGCCCCAGUGAACGGCGGCCGUAACUAUAACGGUCCUAAGGUAGCGAAAUUCCUUGUCAGGUAAGUUCUGACCCGCAUGAAAGACGUAAUGAUUUGGGCACUGUCUCGACAGCCCGCCCGGCGAAAUUGUAGUACCGGUGAAGAUGCCGGUCACCCGCGACAAGACGGAAAGACCCCAUGGAGCUUUACUGUAGCCUAAUAUUGGGUUUCGAUGUUGCAUGCACAGGAUAGAUGGGACACUGGGAAGCAAGUGCUUUGGCAUUUGUGGAGUGGCCGUUGGGAUACCAUCCUUGCGAUAUUGGAAUUCUAACCUGCGCCUUUGAAUCAAGGCGGGGGACAUUGUUAGGUGGGCAGUUUGACUGGGGCGGUCGCCUCCUAAAGAGUAACGGAGGCGUUCAAAGGUUCGCUCAGCUUGAACGGAAAUCAAGCAAAAGAGUGCAAACGCAGAAGCGAGCCUAACUGCGAGACUGACGGGUCGAGCAGUAACGAAAGUCGGAGUUAGUGAUCCGGUGGUAUGUGAGUGGAAAUGCCAUCGCUCAACGGAUAAAAGUUACCCUGGGGAUAACAGGCUGAUCUCCCCCAAGAGUCCACAUCGACGGGGAGGUUUGGCACCUCGUUGUCGGCUCAUCGCAUCCUGGGGCUGUAUUCGGUCCCAAGGGUUUGGCUGUUCGCCAAUUAAAGCGGUACGCGAGCUGGGUUCAGAACGUCGUGAGACAGUUCGGUCCCUAUCUGUCGUGGGCGCAGGAUGUUGAUGGGAGCUGUUCCUAGUACGAGAGGACCGGAGCGGACGUACCUCUGGCGCACCAGUUGUUCUGCCAAGGGCAUAGCUGGGCAACUAUGUACGGAUCGGAUAAACGCUGAAAGCAUCUAAGCGUGAAGCCGGCCCAAAGAUAAGAUAUCCCAUUGUUUCAAACAAGUAAGACCCCUUGAAGACUACAAGGUUGAUAGGCAUGAUGUGUAAGUGGAGUGAUCCAUUCAGCAAGCAUGUACUAAUAGGUCGAGGGCUUGACCU